ACCACGUGGACCAAUGGGAACCACCAGCCUCUUCCCAGAUCCUGCCCUGUGAUUGGCCCAGACUUGGGCACUGUGACCCAAAUCAGACCAAUCAGAGCCCUUUCCUGGGAUUUCCGGAACUGGAGCUGGGGGAGAGCAACCCACCCCUACGUCAACCCUGAAAUUUGAGAGUGUGAGGUCCAGCCUCACCGCGACAAGGAGGCUGAGACCAAGAGAGCCGCCUGCUGAGUAAGGGUGGAGUAGGGUCCGCCAGGCAUGUCUAACAUGCUUCAGCCCUCUAGUCACUACCGGGACCCCUGCCUCCUGCCCUGGGGGUACAGGCUCAAUCAGCGGCCCUGCAUGUGCACCGGGGAGGGUUCAUGCUCACACGUGAAGCACAAACAUCUGUCUUCCAUGAAGGUUUUCUGAUCCCGCAACCAAGAGCGGGGACCAGCUGCCAUCAUCUGCUGAGGCCUGUCUGGAGUGCGUGGGGGCCCCGGCCCAGGAAGGGACCCCAGUGGAGAUGGGGAAAGGAGGGACAGACAGAGGGGAAGGUCUGUUAGGGAAGUGGGGGCCUGAGUGGGUCUGAUCUCCACUGAAUGGCAAGGAUUUAGCAGAUGAGGCCUGGCCAGAAACCUGCCCCUAGAGCCUGGGGUGGCCCAGGCUCUGACCCACCUAGGGUGGGGGAAGACCAUGCAGACUCUGGCCUUUAGCUUGAAGGGUAGGGAGAAGCCUGCUCCAAGGGCCAGGGCCUGCAUAGGACCUGGGCCUGCUGACCUAUAGGGAGAUUCUUGCCAAGGUGACCCUGGACCCCAGCCCCUGACUCCAUGAAUCUUGACCUUUCCCUUCUCACUGAAUCUAGCAGCUUAAAAUGAGAAGCGUGUUCCAGUAGAUGUGUCUUAUGGGAAAACUUCAGCCAAAUCAAUUAAUGAUAAAACCCUUGAGCAAACACAGCUACUUUUAUCAUUUUAGAAUGUGGUGAUUUGAGCAGCAAAAGAAAUUAAAUUAAAAACGCAGAGACUCGGGGUCAGAGCCCCAGCUGCUCUCAUUGGUUUUUAAUCUCCUGUUAAACAAUAUAUCUUCUGAUGGCUU